AUGUCAUAAUAGCGGGUGUGUUGCGGCCCUCGGGGUUUGUGCCGGCGUCUGCAGAGCGUUCGCUGCACACAGGCUCCGGGAGGUGUAGGGCUCCCACGCAGAGCCCUUUUACGCGCACAUGACUGAAUCCUUACCUCUACUCGUACCUCUCGUUCUCCUUCGGCGGGGCAGCCUGCCGUUGGAACAGCCGAAACUCUUUUUGCAUCCAGCAUUACCUGUUCCGAUAACACAACAAUCGUUA
rnacentral:misc_RNA from 1 species